UACGUAGGGGGCAAGCGUUGUCCGGAUUUAUUGGGCGUAAAGGGCUCGUAGGCGGUUUGUCGCGUCGGGAGUGAAAUCAUCUGGCUUAACUGGGUGCUUGCUUUCGAUACGGGCAGACUAGAGGUAUGCAGGGGAGAACGGAAUUCCUGGUGUAGCGGUGAAAUGCGCAGAUAUCAGGAAGAACACCCGUGGCGAAGGCGGCUCUCUGGGGACGGUACUGACGCUGAGACGCGAAAGCGUGGGGAGCGAACAGG
rnacentral:rRNA from 1 species